rnacentral:rRNA from 1 species
UACGUAGGGUGCGAGCGUUAAUCGGAAUUACUGGGCGUAAAGCGUGCGCAGGCGGCGCGUUAAGACAGGUGGUGAAAGCCCCCGAGCUUAACUUGGGAAUUGCGCUUGUGACUGGCGUGCUGGAGUGUGGCAGAGGGAGGUGGAAUUCCACGUGUAGCAGUGAAAUGCGUAGAUAUGCGGAGGAACACCGAUGGCGAAGGCAAUCC